rnacentral:rRNA from 1 species
UUUUCCUACGGGGCGCAGCAGUGGGGAAUAUUGGGCAAUGGGCGCAAGCCUGACCCAGCAACGCCGCGUGCAGGAAGAAGGUUUUCGGAUUGUAAACUGCUUUAGACAGGGAAGAAACAAGACAGUACCUGUAGAAUAAGCUCCGGCUAACUACGUGCCAGCAGCCGCGGUAAUACGUAGGGAGCAAGCGUUAUCCGGAUUUAUUGGGUGUAAAGGGUGCGUAGACGGGAAGGCAAGUUGGUUGUGAAAUCCCUCGGCUUAACUGAGGAACUGCAACCAAAACUAUCUUUCUUGAGUGCUGGAGA